AUUGAACGCUGGCGACAGGCUUACCACAUGCAAGUCGAGCGAGCGGCGGACGGGUGAGUACUGUCUGGGAAACUGCCUGAUGGAGGGGGAUAACUACUGGAAACGGUAGCUAAUACCGCAUACCAUCAGAGGUGCCCAGAUGGGAUUAGCUAGUAGGUGGGGUAAUGGUGCACCUAGGCCACGAUCCCUAGCGGGUCUGAGAGGAUGACCAGCCCCACUGGAACUGAGACACGGUCCGGACUCCGACGGGAGGAAGCAGUGGGGAAUAUUGCACAAUGGGCGCAAGCCUGAUGCAGCCAUGCCGCGUGUGGUAAGAAGGCCUUCGGGGUGUAAAGCACUUUCAGCGAGGAGGCGUUACUCGCAGAAGAAGCACCGGCUAACUCCGUGCCAGCAGCCGCGGUAAUUC
rnacentral:rRNA from 1 species